rnacentral:rRNA from 1 species
UACGUAGGGUGCGAGCGUUAAUCGGAAUUACUGGGCGUAAAGCGUGCGCAGGCGGUUCGUUGUGUCGGUGGUGAAAUCCCCGGGCUUAACCUGGGAAUGGCCAUGGAAACUGGCGAACUGGAGUGCGGCAGAGGGGGGUGGAAUUCCGCGUGUAGCAGUGAAAUGCGUAGAGAUGUGGAGGAACACCGAUGGCGAAGGCAGCCCCCUGGGCCAACACUGACGCUCAGGCACGAAAGCGUGGGGAGCAAACAGG